rnacentral:sRNA from 1 species
GCCGGGCAUGGUGGCACAUGCCUGUAAUCCCAGUGACUCGGGAGUCUGAGGCAAGAGGAUCGCAAGUUCACAGCCAGCCUCGGCAACUUAGUGAGGUCCUAAGCAACUUUGCAAGACUCUGUCUCAA